GUAGGUGAUGGACAACAGGUUGAUAUUCCUGUACUACCGAUAACCGUUUGAGAGAAGGGAUGACACAGUAGGAUAAGCUAAGCACACUGUUGGUUAUGUGUGCCCAAGCAUUGAGGCAGUCAAAGUAGGCAAAUCCGCUUUGAUAAUGCUGGGAUGUGAUGGGGAGCGAAAUUUAGUAGCGAAGUAGCUGAUUUCACACUGUCAAGAAAAGUCUCUAUCGAGGUUAAAGGUACCCGUACCGCAAACCGACACAGGUGGGUGAGGAGAGUAUCCUAAGGCCAGCGAGAGAACUGUUGUUAAGGAACUCGGCAAAAUGACCCCGUAACUUAGGGAUAAGGGGUGCCACCAUCAGGUGGCCGCAGAGAAUAGGCCCAAGCGACUGUUUACCAAAAACAUAGGUUUCUGCUAAGUCGCAAGACGAUGUAUAGGAGCUGACGCCUGCCCGGUGCUGGAAGGUUAAGGGGAUCUGUUAGAGCAAUCGAAGCAGUGAACUUAAGCCCCAGUAAACGGCGGCCGUAACUAUAACGGUCCUAAGGUAGCGAAAUUCCUUGUCGGGUAAGUUCCGACCCGCACGAAAGGCGUAACGAUUUGGGCACUGUCUCAACAACAGACUCGGUGAAAUUGUAAUUCCGGUGAAGAUGCCGGAUACCUGCGACAGGACGGAAAGACCCCAUGGAGCUUUACUGUAGCUUGACAUUGGGUCUUGGUACUACAUGUACAGGAUAGGUGGGAGGCUUUGAAACCAGGACGCCAGUUUUGGCGGAGCCAUCCUUGGGAUACCACCCUUGUAGUACUGGGACUCUAACCAUAGGCCAUGAAUCUGGUCUUGGGACACUGUCAGGUGGGCAGUUUGACUGGGGCGGUCGCCUCCCAAAAGGUAACGGAGGCGCUCAAAGGUUCUCUCAGUACGGUCGGAAAUCGUACGUAGAGUGUAAAGGCAAAAGAGAGCUUGAUUGCAAGACAUACAGGUCGAGCAAGGAUGAAAAUCGGACUUAGUGAUCCGGUGGUUCUGCGUGGAAGGGCCAUCGCUCAACGGAUAAAAGCUACCCUGGGGAUAACAGGCUUAUCUCCCCCAAGAGUCCACAUCGACGGGGAGGUUUGGCACCUCGAUGUCGGCUCAUCACAUCCUGGGGCUGUAGUAGGUCCCAAGGGUUGGGCUGUUCGCCCAUUAAAGUGGUACGCGAGCUGGGUUCAGAACGUCGUGAGACAGUUCGGUCCCUAUCCGUCGCAGGCGUAGGAAAUUUGAGAAGACCUGUCCUUAGUACGAGAGGACCGGGAUGGACGUACCUCUGGUGUACCAGUUGUCCUGCCAAGGGCAUGGCUGGGUAGCUAUGUACGGAAUGGAUAAGCGCUGAAAGCAUCUAAGCGCGAAGCCAACUUCAAGAUAAGAUUUCCCACCGCAAGGGUAAGACCCCAGAAAGACUAUCUGGUUGAUAGGUCGAAGGUGUAAGUGCAGCAAUGUAUUUAGCUUAUCGAUACUAAUAGGUCGAGGACUUGACC
rnacentral:rRNA from 1 species